rnacentral:rRNA from 1 species
CCCUUAGAUGUUCUGGGCCGCACGCGCGCUACACCGAUGCAUUCAACGAGUGUACCUUGGCCGAGAGGCCUGGGCAAUCUUUUGAACGUGCAUCGUGAUAGGGAUAGAUUAUUGCAAUUAUUAAUCUUGAACGAGGAAUUCCUAGUAAACGCAGAUCAUCAAUCUGCAUUGAUUACGUCCCUGCCCUUUGUACACACCGCCCGUCGCACCUACCGAUUGGAUGGUCCGGUGAAGCCUCGGGAUUGUGGCGGUUGCCUUUAUUGGUGGCCGCCGCGAGAACUUGUCUAAACCUUAUCAUCUAGAGGAAGGUGAAGUCGUAACA